CGUUUCAACACUACGUUCUCCAACGCCCAGACAUGCCGAUUCCCGGCCUUCCACUUCGCCACCUGAUCUUCGCCGUGCCACCAAGGGUGCGCGCCGACUGCGAAGCAAGGCUGCAGCGUUGGGUAGCCAGGCCUUUGGGCCGGCUUCCAAAUGAGGAACGCAGCCCGGGGGGAACCCACAAUCACAUAUCCGCAAUUGCCAAGUUCUCCUGCUCAGCUGCUCCCGUCCUUUUUCCCCUCCCCUGGAGCCAAAUUGUCCCUGCACCAAAAGACGGAUGAAGAGAUCGGCGGCUGUCGGAGCUUCGGCAAGUUAACCGGCGCGUCUAGCUAGGACAGUCUUGUGUCAUGCCGGUGGCCAGGAGUGGUGGGAACUGAAAACCGACAUUCCUGAACUCUGGGUACACCCGUCUUUGCCCACCACCAGAUGCUUGCUAGGGAUAAAAAGCAGAAAAUGUCUCUUGGCUUCAGCUAUGCUUCCAGAGGUAUUUGGCGGGCAGAUUUGAGAGGAACAACAAGAGUGGAGAUGUUGUUGCAAAGGACCUAAUAUUUAAUUUCUUAUUAUUAUGCCAGGCUGUUUGGCAAGUUCGGUGGGUAGGACUUCAAAGAGGGCAGAGACGAAAUGAUGUUUCUACUAAAGAUAAGCCCAACCUCCCACCUUGUCCAGGUAUGCAUGACCAACCUUUGCACAAAUGCUCAAAUGCACAACACAGCAUAAAGCAAGAUCCCCCAAAUUAGCUAUUUCCCAUGAUGUCCCAUGGAACUUCUCCCUUGGGCCUUCUCACCAACAUGAAGCAAGAUCUCCAAAGUUAAUUAUAUCCCAUGAUGUCCCAUGGACCUUCUCCCUUGGACCUUCUCCUUUGGAUCUUCUCACCAGCGUAAAGCAAAAUCCCCAAAUCUAAUUAUAUUCCAUGAUGUCCCAUGGAACUUCUCCCUUGGGCCUUCUCACCAACAUGAAGCAAGAUCUCCAAAGUUAAUUAUAUCCCAUGAUGUCCCAUGGACCUUCUCUCUUGGACCUUCUCCUCUGGAUCUUCUCACCAGCGUAAAGCAAAAUCCCCAAAGCUAAUUAUAUUCCAUGAUGUCCCAUGGAACUUCUCCCUUGGGCCUUCUCACCAACAUGAAGCAAAAUCUCCAAAGUUAAUUAUAUCCCAUGAUGUCCCAUGGACCUUCUCCCUUGGGCCCUCUCCUCUGGAUCUUCUCACCAGCAUAAAGAAAAAUCCCCAAAGCUAAUUAUACCCCAUGAUGUCCCAUGGACCUCCUCUCUUGCACCUUCUCACCAAUAUGAAGCAAGAUCUCCAAAGUUAAUUAUAUCCCAUGAUGUCCCAUGGACCUUCUCCCUUGGACCUUCUACUUUGGACUUUCUCACUUUCUCCCACAGGAAAGUCAUUCUCCUAUGAUCUUCCAGAUCAAUACCCUAGGAUUCAGAGGGAGCUUUGCAACAUCUCAUCCAACCCUCCAGCAUUUGCACAAAACAAAUUGCCAUGCAUUAAGCAAUAGAGUCGAGGCCAUGGCUACCCCACGUGGCCUCAGUUUUUCCAGACAACAUCUGCGGAUUGGGUUGAUCGUGUUCCUCGGGGGUUCUCCACAGAACACGGACAGAAGCCAACGGCGGAAGCUUCCCAUCUUGACUCUCUAAAGCCAAAGGAGACUCCUUGCUCCUUGUCUCUUCUUAAUCCCCCGCAGAACAAUUUACCUUUUCGGAACAAAUCCAAGAUGUUAAUUAAGAUAAAUCUACCUCAAUUUUUAGAUUCUCUUAUCCGGCAAUUUAUCAAAAUUAUGUUAAUUAUUUCUGUAGGGCAGCAAAAUUAUUACCUCUUCCGUG